rnacentral:misc_RNA from 1 species
AAGUCGUAACAAGGUUUCCGUAGGUGAACCUGCGGAAGGAUCAUUAACACGUAUCCACGUAUCAACCCCUUUGUGCUUUUUACGUUUUGACGUUCCUGUCUUGAGGUGUAAGUUCUGAGGUUUCGCGAGAAUCGAAUGGUGUUUGAGUCAAAUCAAACAUUCUCGUGUUGCUGUUGCAUUCGUGCACAGGAUUUGCAUUUCUACUGUACAGGUCUAACUAAUGUUAGCCAUUCUAACAUGCCCUUUUAUUAAAACUAAACCCUUUGUAAACAUCUUGCUAACUUAAUUUGAGCUUCUGCGACAACGCAAGUUGAAGUGGAUAUUCAAUAUUACGAAAUGCUUGACAACUCUUAGCAACGGAUAUCUUGGUUCUC